ACUCCUACGGGAGGCAGCAGUGGGGAAUAUUGCACAAUGGGCGCAAGCCUGAUGCAGCCAUGCCGCGUGUAUGAAGAAGCCUUCGGUUGUAAAGUACUUUCAGCAGUGAGGAAGGCGGUACGUUAAUAGCGUGCUCGUUUGACGUUAGCUGCAGAAGAAGCACCGGCUAACUCCGUGCCAGCAGCCGCGGUAAUACGGAGGGUGCGAGCGUUAAUCGGAAUUACUGGGCGUAAAGCGCAUGCAGGUGGUUUGUUAAGUCAGAUGUGAAAGCCCGGGGCUUAACCUCGGAAUAGCAUUUGAAACUGGCAGACUAGAGUACUGGUAGAUGGGGGUAGAAGUUUCAGGUGUAGCGGUGAAAUGCGUAGAGAUCUGAAGGAAUACCGGUGGCGAAGGCGGCCCCCUGGACGAUACUGACACUCAGGAUGCGAAAGCGUGGGGAGCAAACAGGAUUAGAUACCCUGGUAGCUACG
rnacentral:rRNA from 1 species